AUCUACGGCCAUGCCACCCUGAACAAGCUCGAUCCUGUCUGAUCUCAGAAACUAAGCAGAGUUGGGCCUGGUUAGUACUUGGAUGGAAGACCACUUAGGAAGACCAGGUGCUGUAGGCA
rnacentral:rRNA from 1 species